rnacentral:rRNA from 1 species
UACGUAGGGGACAAGCGUUAUCCGGAAUUACUGGGUGUAAAGGGUGCGUAGGUGGUAUGGCAAGUCAGAAGUGAAAACCCAGGGCUUAACUCUGGGACUGCUUUUGAAACUGUCAGACUGGAGUGCAGGAGAGGUAAGCGGAAUUCCUAGUGUAGCGGUGAAAUGCGUAGAUAUUAGGAGGAACAUCAGUGGCGAAGGCGGCUUACUGGACUGAAACUGACACUGAGGCACGAAAGCGUGGGGAGCAAACAGG